rnacentral:rRNA from 1 species
AUUGAACGCUGGCGGCAUGCUCUACACAUGCAAGUCGAACGGUAACAGGCCGCAAGGUGCUGACGAGUGGCGAACGGGUGAGUAAUGCAUCGGAACGUGCCCAGUCGUGGGGGAUAACUACUCGAAAGAGUAGCUAAUACCGCAUACGAUCUAUGGAUGAAAGCGGGGGACCGUAAGGCCUCGCGCGAUUGGAGCGGCCGAUGUCAGAUUAGGUAGUUGGUGGGGUAAAGGCUCACCAAGCCAACGAUCUGUAGCUGGUCUGAGAGGACGACCAGCCACACUGGGACUGAGACACGGCCCAGACUCCUACGGGAGGCAGCAGUGGGGAAUUUUGGACAAUGGGAGCAAGCCUGAUCCAGCAAUGCCGCGUGCAGGAAGAAGGCCUUCGGGUUGUAAACUGCUUUUGUACGGAACGAAACGGCUCUGGUUAAUACCCGGGGCUAAUGACGGUACCGUAAGAAUAAGCACCGGCUAACUACGUG